rnacentral:rRNA from 1 species
CUCGCCUACAUGAAGCUGGAGUUACUAGUAAUCGCAGAUCAGAAUGCUGCGGUGAAUGCGUUCCCGGGUCUUGUACACACCGCCCGUCACACCACGGAAGUUGGGGGCGCCCGAAGCCACUUAGCUAACCCUUUUGGGGAAGCAAGUGUCGAAGGUGAAAUCAAUAACUGGGGUGAAGUCGUAACAAGGUAGC